UGUGUUUAACCCAGUACAGACCAUUAACAGUCAUCAGUCAAGUCAUUCUGAUGCCACAACUGGUGACACAACACCACCAGUCACAACCUUGUUCCACAAUAUGGAUGCCACAGCUACCAUCUCCAAGGAAACAACUGAGACAGACCAUAGGAACAUCAUAACCUCUCACAAAGAUACCCAAACUCUGAUCGCCCAUUUGAGGGUCUCUAUAGUUUCGGCUGGGGAUAUACGUAAGGAGGAGAUCAUUGAGGCGUUGCACAAUCUUGCAGCGCAGGUCCAAGCCUUUCUACAGAGAGAGUACUGUAACGACUGCACACUGAGCAUCAGAAACAUCAGAGGAAUAUGAGACCAACAUUUCAUCCAAAACCAUGUCUCUACACUAACCCAAAGAAUAUUAUGAGAUUCCUGGCACUAACCCUCAUCCAAUAACCCUAAUAUAUCCUGGACCCCACAUAUAAACCUACCUCUGAAUAUCCACAAUGCCAGUUUACACUUUUAAGCCAUUUUGAUUUUGGUUCAGGCUGUCCUUUUCAGAAUA